GCGGACGUGGUGGAACGGUAGACACGCUAUCUUGAGGGGGUAGUGCCAAUAGGUGUGCGGGUUCAAAUCCCGCCGUCCGCACCA
rnacentral:tRNA from 1 species